rnacentral:rRNA from 1 species
ACGCUCGACACCUACUGGAGGCAGCAGUGGGGAAUAUUGCACAAUGGGGGAAACCCUGAUGCAGCGACGCCGCGUGAGCGAAGAAGUAUCUCGGUAUGUAAAGCUCUAUCAGCAGGGAAGAAGAUGACGGUACCUGACUAAGAAGCACCGGCUAAAUACGUGCCAGCAGCCGCGGUAAUCUGAGGCGGGCUGGCAAGGC